UCUUACCAUGCCAGUCGGUAACANGGAUAACCACAGGCAGCUUGCUGCUUCGCUGACGAGUGGCGGACGGGUGAGUAAUGUCUGGGAAACUGCCUGAUGGAGGGGGAUAACUACUGGAAACGGUAGCUAAUACCGCAUAACGUCGCAAGACCAAAGAGGGGGACCUUCGGGCCUCUUGCCAUCGGAUGUGCCCAGAUGGGAUUAGCUAGUAGGUGGGGUAACGGCUCACCUAGGCGACGAUCCCUAGCUGGUCUGAGAGGAUGACCAGCCACACUGGAACUGAGACACGGUCCAGACUCCUACGGGAGGCAGCAGUGGGGAAUAUUGCACAAUGGGCGCAAGCCUGAUGCAGCCAUGCCGCGUGUAUGAAGAAGGCCUUCGGGUUGUAAAGUACUUUCAGCGGGGAGGAAGGCGAUAAGGUUAAUAACCUUGUCGAUUGACGUUACCCGCAGAAGAAGGCACCGGCUAACUCCGUGCCAGCAGCCUGCGGUAAUACGGAGGGUGCAAGCGUUAAUCGGAAUUACUGGGCGUAAAGCGCACAGCAGGCGGUCUGUCAAGUCGUAGGAUGUGAAAUCCCCGGGCUCAACCUGGGAGUAACUGCAUUCGAAACUGGCAGGCUAGAGUCUUGUAGAGGGGGGUAGAGAUUCCAGGUGUAGCGGUGAAAUGCGUAGAGAUCUGGAGGAAUACCGGUGGCGAAGGCGGCCCCCCGCGCGU
rnacentral:rRNA from 1 species